UGGGGAAUUUUGGACAAUGGGGGAAACCCUGAUCCAGCCAUCCCGCGUGUGCGAUGAAGGCCUUCGGGUUGUAAAGCACUUUUGGCAGGAACGAAACGUCAUGGGUUACUACCCCGUGAAACUGACGGUACCUGCAGACUAAGCACCGGCUAACUACGUGCCAGCAGCCGCGGUAAUACGUAGGGUGCAAGCGUUAAUCGGAAUUACUGGGCGUAAAGCGUGCGCAGGCGGUUCGGAAAGAAAGAUGUGAAAUCCCAGGGCUCAACUUUGGAACUGCAUUUUUAACUACCGUGCUAGAGUGUGUCAGAGGGAGGUGGAAUUCCGCGUGUAGCAGUGAAAUGCGUAGAUAUGCGGAGGAACACCGAUGGCGAAGGCAGCCUCCUGGGAUAGCACUGACGCUCAUGCACGAAAGCGAGGGGAGCAAACAGG
rnacentral:rRNA from 1 species